rnacentral:rRNA from 1 species
UACGUAGGGUGCGAGCGUUAAUCGGAAUUACUGGGCGUAAAGGGUGCGCAGGCGGUUAUAUAAGACAGAUGUGAAAUCCCCGGGCUCAACCUGGGAACUGCAUUUGUGACUGCAUAGCUAGAGUACGGUAGAGGGGGAUGGAAUUCCGCGUGUAGCAGUGAAAUGCGUAGAUAUGCGGAGGAACACCGAUGGCGAAGGCAAUCCCCUGGACCUGUACUGACGCUCAUGCACGAAAGCGUGGGGAGCAAACGGG